rnacentral:rRNA from 1 species
UACGUAGGGGGCGAGCGUUGUCCGGAUUCACUGGGCGUAAAGGGUGAGUAGGCGGUUAUAUAUGUCAGGUGUAAAAAGCUAUGGCUUAACCAUAGUAAGCACUUGAAACUGUAUGACUUGAGUGCAGGAGAGGUAAGCGGAAUUCCUAGUGUAGCGGUGAAAUGCGUAGAUAUUAGGAGGAACACCGGUGGCGAAGGCGGCUUACUGGACUGUAACUGACGCUGAGUCACGAAAGCGUGGGUAGCAAACAGGAUUAGAUACCCGGGGUAGUCCCUGA